UCAGCGGUGACACUCGGAGCGAACACACACUCCCCGCUCGGAGCCGCCAGACAGCGGAGCGAACCGAGCCGCGCGCCAGCAUCGUCCCGCCGCCCGGCGCCCGCACGCCCCCCGCCUUUUCAAAGGCCCUCCCGCCGCUCCCAGCUCCGCCCGGGACUCCCCGGCCCGCGCGGCUCCCGGCUUCGCUUCGCGGCCACUUCGGCGGCCGCCCGCCGCGCGCCCUCGCCCGCCUUUGAAGUUUGCUGUGCCGGUGGCAAAGUUGGGACGCUUCCGCCGACGGAAUUUUUCGCUUCUCCCCGCUCCGCCCCCUCCCUCUGGUCACCCGGUUCCCGGACGCCGGCGCCGGGCUGCUCGCGCCGCACCUCGGGGCGGCCGCUCUCCGCCUCCCCCGGGAGGCCGGACGGAUCUCUGAGGGUGUGAUACUUCCCAGCGUGGCUUCCAUCCUAAGGAUGCUGCCCGUCACUUCUUUUCUCCUCCAGCCCGCGUUUCUCGCCGGUCUGGUCCACUCUGUGAACUCACCGUCUGCAUCUUCGUGGCCCAGGCCUGGGCAGCCCCCUGCAGUCCCGAUUAUUCCGUUGACUUUAGGAUUGCUCCGCUGAUGCUGUUGCUUCCCAAAAACGUGCCUGGAAGCCUAAGUUAUAUGACUUUGGCAGGUCAACAGGAAAUAAGGCUUAGUUGCCAAACUAAGAAAGCAACCAGGCAUAUUACUGUUCCCUGAGGAGCUUUCAUUAUUCCAGCAGUCAUCAGUUUCUCCCAAGACAGUGGAAGUUAUCCCAGCUACGUCACUUGUCACAUGACAUUUUGGUAGGAAGAAGGUAUGCAGUAU